AGUCCUAUGGUCUAGUGGUAUGACGGUCCCUUCACAUCAUGAAUUCGGGACAGGCCCUGGGUUCGAUCCCCAGUGGGACUA
rnacentral:tRNA from 1 species